CGGCCUACCAUGCUAGUCGAGCGGUAGAGAGAAGCUUGCUUCUCUUGAGAGCGGCGGACGGGUGAGUAAUGCCUAGGAAUCUGCCUGGUAGUGGGGCAUAACGUCCGGAAACGGACGCUAAUACCGCAUACGUCCUACGGGAGAAAGCAGGGGACCUUCGGGCCUUGCGCUAUCAGAUGAGCCCC
rnacentral:rRNA from 1 species